rnacentral:rRNA from 1 species
GUCUAUGGCCAUGCUACCCUGAACAAGCACGAUCUCAUCUGAUCUCAGAAGCUAAGCAGGGUCGGGCCUGGUUACUAUUUGGAUGGGAGACCACCUAGGAAGAACAGGUGCUGUAAGCG